AUUGAACGCUGGCGGCAGGCCUAACACAUGCAAGUCGAACGAGUGGCGGACGGGUGCGUAAUGUCUGGGAAACUGCGUGAAGGAGGGGGAUAACUACUGGAAACGGUAGCUAAUACCGCAUACCAUCGGAUGUGCCCAGAUGGGAUUAGCUAGUAGGUGGGGUAAAGGCUCACCGAGGCGACCAACCCUAGCUGGUAUGAGAGGAUGAUCAGCCACACUGGAACUGAGACACGGUCCACACCCCUACGUGAGGCAGCAGUGGGGAAUAUUGCACAAUGGGCGCAAGCCUGAUGCAGCCAUGCCGCGUGUAUGAAGAUGGCCUUCGGGUUGUAAAGUACUUUCAGCGGGGAGGCGUUACCCGCAGAAGAAGCACCGGCUAACUCCGUGCCAGCAGCCGCGGUAAUUC
rnacentral:rRNA from 1 species